GCCUUAGUAACGGCGAGUGAAGCGGCAACAGCUCAAAUUUGAAAGCUGGCCCUUUCAGGGUCCGCGUUGUAAUUUGUAGAGGAUGAUUCGGCGAGGGCUCCCGCCUAAGUCCCCUGGAACGGGGCGUCAUAGAGGGUGAGAAUCCCGUAUGCGGUGGGCUGCCUUAGCCAUGUGAAUCUCCUUCGACGAGUCGAGUUGUUUGGGAAUGCAGCUCUAAAUGGGAGGUAAAUUUCUUCUAAAGCUAAAUACCGGCCAGAGACCGAUAGCGCACAAGUAGAGUGAUCGAAAGAUGAAAAGCACUUUGGAAAGAGAGUUAAAAAGUACGUGAAAUUGUUGAAAGGGAAGCGCUUGCAACCAGACUUGUCCGCAGUUGCUCAGCCGGUCUCCUGACCGGCGUACUCUUCUGCGGCCAGGCCAGCAUCAGUUCGGGCGGUCGGAUAAAGACCUCGGGAAUGUGGCUCCUCUCGGGGAGUGUUAUAGCCCGGGGUGGAAUGCGGCCAGCCUGGACUGAGGAUCUCGCUUCGGCAAGGAUGCUGGCGUAAUGGUUGUAAGCGGCCCGUCUUGAAACACGGACCAAGGAGCUCUAACAUCUAGUGCGAGUGUUUGGGUGGAAA
rnacentral:rRNA from 1 species